AUUGAACGCUGGCGGCAUGCUUUACACAUGCAAGUCGAACGGCAGCGCGGGCUUCGGCCUGGCGGCGAGUGGCGAACGGGUGAGUAAUGCAUCGGAACGUGCCCAGUCGUGGGGGCUAGCCCGGCGAAAGCCGGAUUAAUACCGCAUACGACCUGAGGGUGAACGCGGGGGACCGAAAGGCCUCGCGCUAUUGGAGCGGCCGAUGUCGGAUUAGCUAGUUGGUGGGGUAAAGGCUUACCAAGGCGACGAUCCGUAGCUGGUCUGAGAGGACGACCAGCCACACUGGGACUGAGACACGGCCCAGACUCCUACGGGAGGCAGCAGUGGGGAAUUUUGGACAAUGGGGGCAACCCUGAUCCAGCCAUGCCGCGUGCGGGAAGAAGGCCUUCGGGUUGUAAACCGCUUUUGUUCGGGAAGAAAUCCUCUGGGCUAAUACCCCGGGGGGAUGACGGUACCGGAAGAAUAAGCACCGGCUAACUACGUG
rnacentral:rRNA from 1 species